UACGUAGGGUGCAAGCGUUAAUCGGAAUUACUGGGCGUAAAGCGCACGUAGGCGGCGCGACAAGUCAGAGGUGAAAGGCCUGGGCUCAACCUGGGAACUGCCUUUGAUACUGGCGUGCUUGAGUCCGGAAGAGGGUGGCGGAAUUCCCAGUGUAGAGGUGAAAUUCGUAGAUAUUGGGAAGAACACCGGUGGCGAAGGCGGUCACCUGGUCCGGUACUGACGCUGAGGUGCGAAAGCGUGGGGAGCAAACAGG
rnacentral:rRNA from 1 species